rnacentral:rRNA from 1 species
UGGGGAAUCUUAGACAAUGGGGGAAACCCUGAUCUAGCCAUGCCGCGUGAGUGACGAAGGCCCUAGGGUUGUAAAGCUCUUUUACCAGGGAUGAUAAUGACAGUACCUGGAGAAUAAGCUCCGGCUAACUCCGUGCCAGCAGCCGCGGUAAUACGGAGGGAGCUAGCGUUGUUCGGAAUUACUGGGCGUAAAGCGCGCGUAGGCGGCGUAUCAAGUCAGGGGUGAAAUCCCGGGGCUCAACCCCGGAACUGCCCUUGAUACUGGUAGUCUUGAGUUCGAGAGAGGUGAGUGGAAUUCCGAGUGUAGAGGUGAAAUUCGUAGAUAUUCGGAGGAACACCAGUGGCGAAGGCGGCUCACUGGCUCGAUACUGACGCUGAGGUGCGAAAGCGUGGGGAGCAAACAGGAUUAGAUACCCGUGUAGUCC